UCCGAUGCAAAUGACACAUUUCAAAGGAUGGGCAUUUACUUCGUGAAUAUUUUGUGCGUUGAGUAGUCGAGUCUAAAGCAAUUUUUAAGUCUCAGUGACAAUGAAAUUGUUAUUCUUAUAUGUUUUUGCUAUGUGUUUCGUGGGAAGUUGGUGUGAUGAUUUUAUAAAAAAAUAUUGUUUUAAUGAUACGAGUAAUAUUCUUAAUUAUCUUAAUAGUAGGGGAGGGAAGGAAUGUUGCCGUCGUUACUGUCUAAAAACUUCUGAAACUUCCGAACCGAUGGAAUCUUGGGAAACUCCAUCAUGUCCGGAACAUCAAGUAUCUUCCCUUGUGCUGUCCUACAUCCUCGGAUUUAUAAUAUUGAUACUGGUAAUCAUCAUAAUAAUUCUGGCAGUGAUGUUGUAUAGGAAUAGAAAGAAAGAUCAUAAGAUUUUCUCUCCUUCAAAUCAACCGCAACCUGCCACAGAUAUAUCAGACUUAAACAGGUGCUUAAAAACACAAGCAUCCCAUGAAAUGACCAUACUAAAAAUGGAUUCAAUACCAGAUGUACCAGUAAACCAAGCACAAGAAGAAUACAUAGAGAACGUUGAAGACAAAUUAACUACAUCAACAAACAGUAAUCUGAAAAGAAUUACAGCAAAUAGGCAUACAGGCUUAGGCAAAGACUUCAAGGUGUACAGGUCAGUUAAGAGAGCUACGGAUCAACAAAUGAUUUUAAAAGAUCAAAUGAAGAAAAUAUGCGAUGAUGCACUAGCCAGAGCCCACAUUAACGGUAUGUCUGCUAGCCUGAAAGAUUUAAAUAGUUUGCUCGAAUUAAAUUAUAAUAUAACCAGCCCCGAACAUAGGGUUUCUAAAGCUAGAGAGAAGUCAGCCUCAUAUAAUGAACUUGAUGUAUACGAUAAUAUUCCUUCAAAUAUUCCUGUCACAGAAAUGGCCGGAGAAGCUGUAUAUGAUUGCUUGCCAUCUUCUUAUACGAAAAAUAAUAUUGUAGUAGAAGACUUUGAUACGAAAUAUCUUUUGACAAUAUCAAAAGAAAAUCUUACGGAACCGGAGUAUAUCAACGCUCAGUAUAGAUACAAUAAAUUUUGAGAUUAGACUUUACCUUUGACGUUAACAUAGUAAUAAACAUAAGUCAUAAUAUUUUAUUUAAUGUACAUAUUUAUUUCUAAUCUAGACAAUUUAUAAAUAAAUAACGCGCCUGGAGUUACGUAAAUGUAUGGAUUUUCCUGGACAUAACUGUAUGGUUUAUAUCAUAGAGGAUAAAUGUUAGUGGUAGCGAAUUGUAUACAACGCCAUGUGAGGAAUUACUUGUCUUUCAUAAAAUAAUAAAAAAAAAUAGAACAAGGGUAAAGGACAAAAAAACAAUAGUUGUCCUAGUUUUAAUUUCAGUUUCAUUUGUAAAUAAAUAAUUCAAUUGAGCGAUAAGAAUGUAGGUAUAAAUAUUGUAAUAUAGUUUGAAUUAUUAUUGUCAUCUAAGAUAAAUAGUGGGUUUGAAAGACCUAAGAUCUAUUAUCGUUCUGUAAUAAUUUAUUUUGCCAAAGACUAGUUUUAGUUAAGUAGGUAUUCAAUAUAGCAAAAAUGAAAUGCUUGAUAAAAAUAUAUUUGGUACAUUUAAUUACCUAUAAUUAAUUAGGAUAUAAUUAAUAAAACUGUAAAUACGUUAAUUUAUCGUUUUAAAUGUACAGAAAAUAAUAUUUUUUAAUAUUUACUCCCUUAAACCGUUAAACUAAACAUUGCCUUUGCUUUACUUUCGUUUUACAAUUUGUUUUCUUCUCUUUACGAUUUUCUACUUUAUAUUUUUUUUAUUCUUCAAAAUGUAUCACUAAAAGAAAUAUAAUAUUGUUUUUAAGAACGA